rnacentral:rRNA from 1 species
UACAGAGGGGGCAAGCGUUAUUCGGAAUUAUUGGGCGUAAAGGGCGCGUAGGCGGCCUGGCAAGUGGAAGGUGAAAUCCCUCGGCUUAACCGAGGAACUGCCCUCCAAACUGCUUGGCUUGAGACCGGGAGAGGUGAGUGGAAUUCCCAGUGUAGCGGUGAAAUGCGUAGAUAUUGGGAAGAACACCCGUGGCGAAGGCGGUUCUCUGGGACGGUACUGACGCUGAGACGCGAAAGCGUGGGGAGCGAACAGG